UGGCGCCCAAUGUGGGGCUCGAGAAUGGGGGACUUUGUGAGGGACGCUGUUCAUGGGUCCAAAGUAGAAAAAAGGAAAAGAAAAUAGAGGACCCACAAUGUGGGAGCCUGCCACACUGUAAGUGAACAGCAAUCAUGGGACAAGAAAUUAGCCAGCAUGAGAUUUUUGUUGAAAGUUUAGGAAAGGCUUUAAAGAGGUGGGAGUAAAGGUAAAAAUUAAGCAAGUGUGUCCAUUCGGGUUUAAUACAUUUUAUCUCAGGUA
rfam:Cavia porcellus supercont2_43 genomic scaffold, whole genome shotgun sequence.